rnacentral:rRNA from 1 species
GUGGGGAAUAUUGGACAAUGGGCGCAAGCCUGAUCCAGCCAUACCGCGUGGGUGAAGAAGGCCUUCGGGUUGUAAAGCCCUUUUGUUGGGAAAGAAAUCCUGUCGGUUAAUACCUGGCGGGGAUGACGGUACCCAAAGAAUAAGCACCGGCUAACUUCGUGCCAGCAGCCGCGGUAAUACGAAGGGUGCAAGCGUUACUCGGAAUUACUGGGCGUAAAGCGUGCGUAGGUGGUGGUUUAAGUCCGUUGUGAAAGCCCUGGGCUCAACCUGGGAAUUGCAGUGGAUACUGGAUCACUAGAGUGUGGUAGAGGGAUGCGGAAUUUCUGGUGUAGCAGUGAAAUGCGUAGAGAUCAGAAGGAACAUCCGUGGCGAAGGCGGCAUCCUGGGCCAACACUGACACUGAGGCACGAAAGCGUGGGGAGCAAACAGGAUUAGAAACCCGUGUAGUCC